ACCCCCUGGCAUUGGGUAAGGAGACACCUGAUUGGUGGUGGUGCUCUUAUAUCAGUCAGGGGCAAAGCAGAUGUACAGUCCUUAGUUCAUCCUACCUUCAUGCCUGUGUCGGUGGCCAGAGCUGUUUCAUGCCUGAGGCACAUAA
rnacentral:snoRNA from 1 species